ensembl:rRNA 5S_rRNA 5S ribosomal RNA
AGCAGCAGCAAGGCCAUUUAAAAAAUGUCUAACAUUUUCUUGGAAGCUAAGCAGGGUUGGGCCUGUUAGUACUUGGAUGGGAGACUGCUUGAGAAUACCAGGUGCUGUAGGGU